UACGGAGGGGGCUAGCGUUGUUCGGAAUUACUGGGCGUGAAGCGCACGUAGGCGGACUGUUAAGUCGGGGGUGAAAUCCCGGGGCUCAACCCCGGAAUGGCCUUCGAUACUGGCGGUCGUGAGGUCUUGAGAGGUGAGUGGAAAUUCGAGUAUAGAGGUGAAAUUCGUAGAUAUUCGGAGGAACACCAGUCGCGAAGGCGGCUCACUGGCCAGAUACUGGCGCUGAGGUGCGAUAGCGUGGGGAGCAAACCGG
rnacentral:rRNA from 1 species